GGCAGCGCCCGCAGGUUGUUACAAAACCAGGCGGUUUUGUAACGCGCCGGCCCCGGCCCGGCCCGGCCCACCCCGCUCCCCCCCGCUCCCCCCGCCCCGUGGGGGGUCACCCGGCCCCUCAGACCCCCCGGCCCCUCAGACCCCCCGGCCCGGCCGCGUCCGCCCCUCGGCGGGUGGGUUGCAGCCGAGCGGCCAAGGGAGCGCCCCGUGCUCGGAGUUCGGUCUGACCCGCUGGUGGGACGCGGGGCUCGCUCCUGGGCUCGGCGUUUUGGUGACACGGAGAAAACAGCGGUUCAAAGAGGUUUUGAGAUGCCGUUCCCUGCUAGAACUGGAGUUGUAGAGCCUUGUACUUGCACGGUUAAUCGGUCCCUUUCAGGGAAUCUACGUAGUGGUGAAGCUAUUUUGAUGUCAGGAAGACAAUCCCUGAUUACCCAUGGGACUCUCAACUAUGGCAGCAAAGAAGCUGCACUCUCUCUUCGAUGCAGCUGCAUUAUACUGUCAGCACACCCUGCAAAGGCCGAAGUCAGAACAAGUAAAGGACCACGGAUCACCCAGAGACCAUCUCAACUAUAUGUGGAAAGGAUGAUACCCCUGGUGACAAGAACAUCAUCUGCUAAAGGAUGCAACACAAGAGCACUCAAAAAUGAAAGAUUAGAGAACCUGGAGCAGCAGCUGACCUAACAAAACUAAAGACAAGUUCUGGAUGGUUCCCUAUGCACAUAACAAGACAUGCCUAGCAGGUCACUGAAAAGGAAGGAUGAAUAAACUGGUA